GACUGUCCUCCUCCACUUUCAUUCAGCCCCAGGUAAGGAGGCAGCAGGACAGCAUGGUACCUUUGCUUUUAAUCCCUUCCAUCUGCAGCAAGUGUGCUCCCUGCUCCUUCUUAGGGAUGCAUUUGCAUUUUCAUUUCUGAAUUAGUAAAUACACCCCACGUGGAGGCUACAAUAACCGAGCUGAUGUCCCUAAGACAUGAUUCCCCAUGUCACAAGCCAUGUAGCCCAGCUACUGUAAAAUUAACUGCCCUGGUGGGAUGAGGAGGAGAAUCAGAAAAAAGGUAAAACUUGUGGGUUGAGAUAACAAUUUAAUAAUUGAAAUGUAACAGUAAUCGUGUUAGUAAUAGUAGUAGCAAUAUAAUGAUGAAAAGGAGAGAGAAAGAGAGAGGAAUAAAACCCAAGGGAAAAAUAACAAGUGAUGUACAAUAGUUGCUCCCCACCCGCUGAGCGAUGCCCACCCAGUCCCCCAGCAGCACUCAGUGCCUCCCAGCCAGCUCCCACCAGUUUACAUACUGAGCGUGACAUUCUGUGGCACAAAAUAUCCCUUUGGCUGGAUGGGCUCAGCUGUCCUGGCUCUGCUCCCUCCCACCUUCUUGUGCCCCUCCUCACUGGCAGAGCAUGGGAAACUUGGAAAGUCCUUGAUUCAGAGUAAGCACCACUUAGCAACAACUUCACAUCAGUGUGUUAUCAACAUUAUUCUCACACUAAAUCCAAAACAUAGCAUUGUAGCAGCUACUAAGAAGAAAUUUAACUCUAUCCCAGCUGAAAGCAGGACAAUGCCCCAAAUAUUUAACUGCUCAUGCCCUGUGCAAGUCACUGACAGUUUUGGAUGCAUGGCCACAGUUUGUGGAGAAGCUGUGACACCAGGACAGCAGGUCUUGUUUCCCAAAAUGACACACAGAGUGGGUCUGAGCGGCCACUUGCCGGGAAGCGAUGUAAGUUAAAGCAUCCUGCAUGAAGUGCUGAUUCUGCAUUUUCCUUCUGUCUCACCAAGGACAAGAACAGAAGAAGGAGAAGUUCAGGUUAAAGUGCAAUUUGCCAGCUUUGUCAAGAGGCCAGGAUUUAUUUAGGUGGAGCCUUUUUACCAACAGUGCUGAUGAGAUUAUGGUAAAUCAUGUGAUACAUGAAAUGCUCCCCUUGGCUUCCAACGGCUCCAAAGGAUAACUGUGGCUGCCCCUGCUUUGUUAUGGGGCUGCCUGCCUGACCCCUGGCUCGACUGUACACUCUUCCUCCCCCACACACACCCCUAAAAAAAAAGCAUUGCAAGAGGCUGAGGGAAUUGAGGUUUGUAAAAAGUUGUAGUUUAGCAGGUAUUUUCUAGAAGAGGAGAUACCUGACAUCCCAACAGCUAGCUAGACUAGGCUCAUGCAAAAUGCCAGCUAGCCUAGGAGUCUGCUGGGGACGGAGGGAAACUGGAAACUGAAAUGCAUGGUUGGUAUGGGAGAUAACACAUUAUGAAAAAGCUCAUCAGCAACAUUUAAAGUAUUUUAAUAGUCUGUCCUUUAUUCAGAGCUGGAGUGACACUGACUGUCUGAGCAGCCAGGCCCUGCAAGGGCUAUUCUUCUGUGGGAAAGCAGCCCACUCCCACUUGCAAUCCUGAUGCAUCACAGUGUGACUGCCCUUUGUCACCCUGAGAAAACAGCAUCACCAACAUCCACCUCAGCUCGUUCCCUUCACCUGGCAUUUAGGUCAGACAAAAAGCCCUGCAAAAAUCUCACCAGUGAAAUCCAAACACAAACUCCUGAAACUUGCAGCGAGAACAUCAUCACCCUCACCCUGCGCCAGCCAGGAGCACUGGGUAACUCCCACUGCAGAUGCCCUGGCUCCUGCCUGGAGCUCACCACGGGGACCGGCCGGGCUCUGCCAGUGACUGGUGGCCACAGGCCCUUUGUGUGUGGCUUCUCUGCGUCCAUGAAGUGGCCCUGUGGGGAGAUGGGCAGUCGGCUGCAGAGCACACCUCUCUUAGCCACAGCAAGACAACAAAGAGCAAAACAUCUCAAUAGCUAGGAAGAAAGGAAACGUACUAACAAAACCAAACCUGUAACGUCUUUUUCCACAUGGUAAGAAUAAAAAUGAUUUCCAAGCAGGCAAUGGAAAAACUUAGCUGAAAUUAACAUUCACCAAUUAAAUCUGUAUUAUGGUAAAUGCCAUUUCAAUAAAGAUUCAGGAGUAUAGAUUAAAAAACCUCCCUGACCACAUUUUUGCUUUCUCUACAAAAAGCAAAGCAUAAAUUACUCAGCCUACCAUUGUCUUUUACAGAGAAGUGGCAACCAGACACUAGUUGAUCCCAGUUUAUGCUGAUAUCACCCACGUGCAAACAUUCCCACCUGUUCCGUGUACCAUUUGAAACAACUCCAUCACGCAGCUUAAAACACUACCGCAGACGAGCAAAGCCACCUUCCCCAGCACACUGCCUCGUGCUCCUUGUCACAGCAACCCUGGCAUCUCCAGUGGCAAGGAGUGGGCUCAUUUCCAGCGAGCCCACUGUGAGCUGGGGGGGCUGCUUGGCAGAGGAGGGGGCCUGGGGGACUCUCUCCAAAGCUCUGGUCUCACCAGUUCUUUCAAGAGGCAGAGUAACAACCUCAGGGCUUCAACCGGGUUUUGUUUCAGACACAGAGAAGGGCUCCAGUGGCUGAAACUGGGGUUUUUUUCCAGAUGUCUGGGCUGAUUCAAUGGAAGAGCACCUCUCCCCCGAACCUUGCCUUCUUCUCACAACUGGGAGUGACUCAGCAGUGCCACCCUUCUUCCAGGCCACUUCACCUACAGGACAAUGCCUUCUGGGAAUCAAACUUCAUCUCAGGAGCUCAGGAAGUAAAGAACAACUAAGGUAAAAAUCAACAACCAAAUCAACCCUCUUGUAACUAGAGUAGUCCAACUUGUUUGUUUUGCUCCUUCAUUAAUACCCGAACUCAAAAAUUCACAGACUUGCACCUGCGCACAAGCAGAAGAGCUACCAGAAGCUGCAAGUGCAGGUCUUCUUGUCCCCAUCCUUGUCCCCAGGCAGUGCUGGGAAGCAGAAGAACCUCAGCUCUUGGGCCAGCUCCAGACGCUUUUAUGGAUAAGCUGACCUGUGCCUCCCUCCCAGCCUGGAUGUGCGCUCUGUGCCAUUUCUAUGGCCUCCCAGGAGUGUCACCCCAAGCUGACAGCUGCUGCCACCACAUUGCAGGGGACAGUGGACCUUACCUUCUCAUGCCCCUUGUGUCCAGCACACAUGAUGCCCUUGCUUUAACCUGAUGGCGCUGUGAGGAGCAGCACGUUAGCCCAACAGGAGCAGGAGCUGACUGAACAGCACACAUGAUGCACCACAAAGUUAAUCCAACAUUAACCAAGGUGUGGGCAAAAUGACCUCCAACACGCUUUGCAACAGAAUUUGACUUGCGAUAAGCGCUUUUUAAAUGUAUCAUGUUACUUAGCAGAAUGAGUUAUUCUUUUGAUUCCAAAGGGCCUUUACUACUGAAUAACAGAUGCUUUUUAAGAGAGAUGGGAGAAGGCAAUGUGUGUUCAACUGAGGGGGAUUGUAGAAGAAUGGCUGCAGAAGCAUGGCCUUAGAAUCUCUGAAGAUCUGCACAAUCCAGGCCUGGUAUUAGAAUAGGCCUGCAAUCACAAUUGUACUGAAGUUGCUGUGCUGAAGUUAACGAGAAAGGUGGCCUUGAGCUAUUCUUGAGUCCUGAGACCAAGUAAUUACGUUGUGCCAACAGGCCGUGGCUGUAACAAGAUACAGCUGCUGGGAAAGCAGGUGCAGGGCCAAGAAAGAUGGGGACCGGUAUGGGAAAAUAGGGAGUAACAAACUACAAGGCUGAAGCACAGCAACACAAUUAGCUACGUGGAUAGAAUGCUUAUUUUAGUCAUGAUAAUUAGGGGUGUGAGAACCGCGCGCGUUUAGAGACUACUAACCAGUUAUAUUUCUGCUUUACGAAUAUGCAUGUGUAUCGGUUCUAUGUAAGUAGUGUUAGAAACUGAUAAAGUUGAGCAAGGUGCAUAACUCAUAUUGAGCGUCUUCUUGACUCCGGCGAACCCUUCUUCCAACAGGGGAUGAUGUGCAAGAGGGGGAAGCCGCGUGGCUCUGCACCUGCUGCGGACACAUGACAAGUUGUAUUCGGAGGAGAGCUUUGCUCACCUUCAGUUCGAUGGCAGCCUUGUUUCUCCCCUCUGUGUGCACGUGAUGCCUCUUGCGGACGAUGGCAUUUCUUCCCUGUGAUUUCAUCAACCCGGCACCCAACAUGCUGAAGUUCUGAGGCCUGAGCAACAAGCCCUGAGCCAAAGCUGACCUCUAGAUGAACCCACCAACCAAAUGUUAUAUAGUUAUAUAUAUAUAUAUUUAGUAUCUGAUCAUUAGAAAAAUAUGCAUAAUGAUUAGUGAACUCUCUAUGAUCACUAGUGAAAGAUGUAGCUUAGAUAAAAUACAAUCAUCACUGAAGACACAGAGCAUCCUUCCUUGCUUAGAAGCAGGUAGUCAAGGCCAUGAAACCAGAUAUAUGGCCCAGUUUGCAAACUGGUGGUUAAAAUCAAGUAGAUACAGGGAACUCCAUUGGUUCCUCCCUGUCCUGGUUUCAGCUGGGAUGGAAUUAACUUUCUUCUUAGUGGCUAGUACAGUGCUGUGUUUUGGCUCUGAUGUGAGAACAAUGUUGAUAACGCACUGAUGUUUUUAGUUGUUGCUGGGUAAUGUUAUACACUAAGUCAAUAAUUUUUUGGUUUCUUGGGCCUUGCCAGCCAGAGGGCUGGAGGGGCACAAGAAGUUGGGAGGGGACACAGCCAGGACAGGUGACAUGAACUAGCCAAAGAGGUAUUCCAUACCAUGGGACAUCAUGCUAGGUAUAUAAACUUGGGGGGUUAGCUGGGGGGGAUCAUUGCCUGGGGACUGGCUGGCCGGGUGGUGAGCAGCUGUGCUGUGCAUCUCACUUGUUUUCCUUUCUCCCUUUUCCUUUGGAUUUUAUCCUUUCCCCCACCUUUCCAUUAUAAUUGUUAUUCUUCUUAUUAUUGUUGUUCUUACCUUUUUAUUCUGUUUAAAUUAUUAAAUUGUUCUUAUCUCAA